GCUAACAAAGGUUAUCCAUGAUCUCCACGGAAAUAACUCAGAGUGGAAACAAGGAGGGCGCGUUUGCUAUCCACUACACAAGAAAUUACGUCAGUAAGAAAGAUCCUUUCCUUAACCCUGUGACAUUCCAUGUGUUGCAAACACGGGUGAUUCUGAGUCAGGGCUUUCGGUGGGAGCCGGAAGAGGCUAAGGAAAUUGACGGUCAUCUGAAGACUCGUGAAGGCCUAGAAAGAAUAAGCACUGUUGGCAGGGCUUCAUCCUCUGGCUGGUAAGCUUCUUCUGACUUUCAGGCAGGAGAACCUAUGUGCUUAACGUACAGACCUCUAAAGUGUUCUUGUGACCCUACAACUGGAUCCCAUCUAAGAUAUUGACUCAAGAGAAGAUUGAACCACACUACCUCAUAGGACAAAGACUCAGGGGCUGCCCUCUGUCAGAUCCUCCAUAAGUCACUGACGGCAAAGACCAGCCCCAGUCUUCAGAGGUGGGGUUGUACUGAACUCUGAAUGGCAGAGGUGAGAACCAUGGUGGAUCUCCUAUCAUAGAUGGAUUGCACAUUGGGAGCCUUCCUUCAGGUGCAGCCUAGCUUACCAAACAGUGAAAUCAUUCACUGGAGAAUUUGCAUAUGGAAUACAGAUAAACUGCACGGAGGAGACGCAGAGGCUGAGAUUGACAGGGAACUGCAGUCUGGAUACUUCACGAUGGGGACCGUCUGGAUGGUGGACAGAUGCUGCUAGACUCUGCUGAUGCAAUUAUGAGCAUUCCUAGGCAAUAUGCACGUUCAGCAGAUGAAUAUGAAAACCCAGCCUGUACAAAAUUCAACUCAACAACACAAGAAAGGCCUCGAGGUAAACUCCACAACUCGAAAGAGCGGGAAAAAACACAAGGGGAAGCUCUUGAAGGCAGGCAAGGGCAAGGACUCUCUGAAGAAGACGUCAGUCGCCCGGGAAAUGGUACCCAGAAUUGACAAGUAAGGCUCUGUGAAAUCAGAAAGGCUUCUGCAGAGCCCAGGGAGUAACAGCAGACGGCAGAUAGAGGCAACGCUUUGCUCAUUAUAUGCCCUGUAGAAGACUGACAUCCAACAUAUACUGGAAACAGUUGCUGCAAAUGGUCUGAGAGGCCACCAAGAAAACCUUGAGGUAUCUGGGCAAUGGCUUUAGAAAUGUGGCAGGCAGCAAGACGGAAGGCAUGACUUCACAGGAAAGAAAUGCACCAUGCAUGUGCAUGUUGCAGAGACUAUGCUACUGCCUGACAAUGUGACUAGGCCAUGGAUAAUGGGAGGGUAAAGUCUGGGUGACACAGGAAGAAGCGCUUUAUCAAUACCGUUGUUGCUGGUUCUCCUACUAAGGAAGUCAGAGAGAUAAGUCAGAGAUGAGGCUGGACUGGGGGGCUGAGGAGAGAAGCAGGGCACAGAGACAUGAGUGCUCUGGAGGACUGGCAUUCUUCCACUCAUUGAAGAUGUUUCCAUUCUUCAGGUCCAAAGUGUCUUUGUGAAACGGCCUCCUCAUCAAAUACUUCCUAUCCAAAACAUAAGGAAGAAAAGAUAGAAAACCAAAAGCCAUGGUCAAAAUGUAUUUUGUUCAAUGAAAUCGAAAUAUUUAUAAGCUGUAUAUCAGAUGGUUCUCUCCUAUGGCUGACAGAGUAUGUCACAAGAAGCCGAAGCUGACAAUGCUCAGGACAGACAUUUUCUAUGUUUCUCCCAAAUACCCAUGUUAGUUGCACUGUGCUCUGUGUGGCUCUCCCUCAAGGUAAAGGGGAAAUAAGCUUCUGGAGAAGAGACAGUCAGAAAAUCAAGGCUUUUUCAAUAUAUAAGAGUGUUUGAGUUGGGGGUCAGGGUGAGGGUCAGGGUCCUGCCUUGACUGCCCACCACUUAAGCACUGAAGGAUAUUUCAAGCCGGGACAACUCCAUGGUCUCUUCAGUAUUUACAGCGUCUGUGACGAUGCAGGCACUGCUUUGCAGCAGAGAGCGCUCUGGUUGUGAAACUGAUGUCAAGUUCACUGUAUGUCACCGCUCUUCAGCACGGAGUACACUGUCACAGUGCUCUCUUCUCUCCUUGCUCCACACUUGAAUGCUAAUUUGAAACAGAAGGAUUUUCAAGUGGAAAGAAUAGAACUAAGGCUUUUGUCUCUUUAUUGUUAAAAAAAAAACCUGAAAGUCUUUAUUGCUUGCUAUCAGGGGGAUAAUUAACUAAUGCAUCGAAGCCCCAGGGACAGGAUGCUUCUUAAAUACCACCUCUGUGUGGAAACCCUGCCGUAUCAGCUGCUCAGAAGGGUCCCAUGUUUAGACAGCCUUGGUUAACCUGACAUUGAUUUAAGACUUGCCGUUUAUGUGAAAACGUCAACCCCUUUCCAGAACUGGAGGGAAUUCUGCAAUGAGGAGCAGUGUGCACCAUCCCACUGAUUAAAAGGAUAGCUCCGAGCUGGCUCUAUGAGAAAUACAUAGCUAAAGAGAGUUAUUGGAGAGGUUAAGACUGAGAUGAGAUGUGGCUAAUAGCCACAGUGAUGUUAGGAAGGCCUAACUGUAGAUGAACAACGGGUACCAAAUUUAAGAUGUGGAGAAAAGAACAUGUAUUCUCUAAGACCACACACACACACACACACACACACACACACACUCACACAAACAUACACACACAUACACACACAUAAAAACACAUACACACACACUCACACAAACAUACACAUACACACACACACUCACACAAACAUACACGCACACAUACAUACAUACACACACUCACACACACACACUCACACACAUACACACUCACACACACACUCACACACACAUACACACAUAUGUAUAUAUACACACACAUACACAAACGCGCGCACACACACACACACACACACACACACACACACACACACACAUUGCAUAGAGAGCUGGGAGAUCAACUCUACUAAAGCAGUGCCCAAGCCCAGAAACUAAUGCUGGCACUGGACAUGGGGCAUUCCAUCCCAUUUUCUUUACUUCCUGUGAAGUUUUGGACACGUUAAGCAUGUGCGAUAUUAAUAUUCCACUUAAGCUUUUUUGUAAUUCUUCACUCUGACAGCAUUCUUCUGAAGGUCUCCUCUAGUCUCCAGGAGAGUCAGGGCAUUAGGAGCAGAAGGAAGAUGUUAAGGUUAGUUCUUUGCUUUCUUUCCUUUCAAACACUGUGAAAAUAAUGUGUUUCAAACUUCCUGGAGAAGGCAACCUGCACCAUCUGUCAAUAAGCAGAGGGCAAGGAAGAUCAGAGACAAACCAGGUCAAGGGAGAAGUCAAAUAAGCAUCAGCAAAGGCAAACAAGACCUAAGGGAGAGGAAUGUGAGGUGAGGCCUUUGAUCUGGACUCAGUGGGUGUCACACCUGAAACCUCCCCCAUGGGGUGAGUGCCAUUAAAAAGGAACCUCAGAGAAAGCCCUGUCCCUUCCCCACCCACCAUGAGUGAGCAUGAUGAGCCUAGCAGCAGCCAUUACCGAACACUAACUAUUCUGUCUCCAGAGUUUUCAACAUCCAAGUCUCCAGCACAUGAGAUGUCUGUUGCUCAUCAGCGCCACUGGAAUGUAUUCUGUGUCAUCCUGAACGUGGAGAUAACACCUUCAACAGGAUCUGACUCUGGACUCCAUAGCAGGAGAAAUAAGCUGUCACGGUGUCAAAGGCAACUCGAGUGCGCACGUGGCUUCAGCAGGAGCUCUGAGAUCACUGGGUCUCCUAAGGGGGAAACAGGCAGGCAUCCCGACCCCUCUUACCACCAGCUCUGCUUCAUCAACAACAAAAAAAUCUCAGAUGGCUCUGUCUUCACUGCCUCCACAGAAGGGAGUCAUCUACCUGAGAGCGUGCAUGCUCUUUCACACGCUGCUCCCUGAAGAGAUUCCAGUAGCUGUAAAUUCCACACCCCACCUCAUGUGCAAACUGGUUUUCAGGGAGAAGACAAAGUGCUUUAGUUUCCUAAAGCAAUUCCUCCUAUUCCCAAGAUUGUAGAUUUGGUGAUGUGCAUAAAUGCCAGGUGCCAUAGAAAGGUGACGUCAUUGAGAUGUGCCCAAAUCAGUAACGAUGAUGACUCUAAGGGAUUUGUAGCUCUGCCUAUUUGAUUGACACUGUGUAUUGAAGAGGAGGGAUGAGGUAGAAGAAGGAGUUUGAGGCAAGCCCAUCGAGGAUGUUUACAACACAUGACCUUGAGGCCUGGAACAGAGCCAUUGCAUCCAUGUCAUAAUGGUAAGUCUCUGGGGAAGCAUCAUGUCAUCAGUUGGAGGGUGAGCUGAGCUGCAGUAUGGAUUCAAAUUAAUAAUGUAUGGCUCACCCAAUAUGCAGAUAAUUCGAGAUAGUAGUAAAAGACAGUAGAGGGAGAAUAUUUUCCCCAUGAUAUACCUGUAGGUGGUGCACCUGUUUGUUGCUUUGUGUGCAAAGGCAGAAUAGGCACAGAUUUCUGAACUGUGGCCGACAGCCUGCAGGGCAGGAACUUAUAGCAACCACAGGAUUGAAUCAUGAGAACAGAGCACCAUUUAAACCGAGUAUGAAGAGAUGUGUAGCUUAUGCUAACACAGACAACUGAGGGAUUUCUCACUUUCUGCUACAUAGAAAUGGAUUCACACAACACAGAUAAGCUGACCCAGGAACACACCUCAGAGCUGUGAGGGUGCAGGUGAGAUCCCAGACCAAGGAUUCCAAUGAGUCCUCACACUGCACCACUCAGGAAUAGCCAGCCUCACAGAAAUCCAAGUCUGUUUGUCUGACCCUUGCAUAUGUUCUGACUGUAGUAGGAUAGUCUUGGGCUCACUAAAUGAAUGAUGACUGAUUCCAAACAUGGAAUUAAGCUUCUUGUCCUUCAUGAUUGAGAAACAUAUUGUCUCUUUAGUCCAUAAUAGAGGCAGCUUGUAAAUGUUUUCUAGAAUAGGAUUUCAGCCUUGCCCAUGCAUCAAGAUUAUUAUGGUAUGGCAGGGGCCAGUUCAAGCUUCAAUCUGGAGCUUAGAUCUGGUCAUCUGGUAUAGGUCUCCGUCAUUACAUUCAUAGCACCCUCUUCAGGUGGUGCCUGCCUAUUAUGGUCUGGCACCCACACUUGCGAUUCCCUGGUCCAGGAAUACUGUAGAGAUAGCUGCCUCGUUCAUGGGCACCCUCUUUUCUCAUUUCUGCCCAGUGUCCACUCAUGUCUUUGUUAAAUAAAUCAGCAAGGAUCCAUCUGAUACAGACAGCUGACAUAUGCUAUCUGAUCAAUUGCUUUCAUCCAGAAACAUAGAGUUCAACUCAGAGAGAGACAUGAAACUGAAAAGGGUUUGAAAGGCCCAGUGGCAGCUGGUGCUGUAAUGAAAGAACAUCAGUGGCCCCUUCCCCUUCUAGGUCCAGAUGAUUCUGUCUGGCAGCACUGUCAAAAGUGAAAUCCAAAUCUGCAGUCUUGUAGGAGAGAACUGUUUCAAAUUUCCGUGGUUGAAGUAGAAGUGAGGAGACAUAGGACAUUCAUUGGGAGAGACAGCCAGAGUGAGGCAAGCUACAGAGGCAGCACAAGUUAAGCUAGGCAUGGGGAAAAUAGGUUGCUCUGCAACUACGGUGAUGCCAGUUGCCCAAACCCAAGGACUUUUUUUUCUGUUAAGAGGAUCAUUUGUCUGUGUUCUCUCAAGGGAAGCUUGUUGGAACACAGAGUUUUUAGAGUUAAGAGAAAGAUAUAGGUGAGAAUAGGGGAACCUGGAACAAUUGCCCAUCCUACUUCUGGCAAUUUUAUUCAUAUAAUCGGCAUCAAUCAAUAGUUCUACUUUGCUAUAAAGCCUAUGAACCACAACAAUGACCAACAGAUCAAGGUGUCUUCAAGUCUAAUAGUGGUGCUUAUAUCUCAGCAGCAACCAAGAGCUGCUUAAUGGGGCUUGAGUCUCACUCAACAGAGACUAAAUCAUUCCUCAUACUAGAAACCUAACCAAAGUCCUGUGGCUAACGAGGUUAUGAAUCUUUUUUUUUUUUAUUAACUUGAGUAUUUCUUAUAUACAUUUCGAGUGUUAUUCCCUUUCCCGGUUUCCGGACAAACAUCCCCCUCCCCCCUCCCCUUCCUUAUGGGUGUUCCCCUCCCAACCCUCCCCCCAUUGCCGCCCUCCCCCC